rnacentral:rRNA from 1 species
AUUGAACGCUGGCGGCAGGCCUAACACAUGCAAGUCGAGCGGAUGAGUGGAGCUUGCUCCAUGAUUCAGCGGCGGACGGGUGAGUAAUGCCUAGGAAUCUGCCUGGUAGUGGGGGACAACGUUUCGAAAGGAACGCUAAUACCGCAUACGUCCUACGGGAGAAAGUGGGGGAUCUUCGGACCUCACGCUAUCAGAGGAGCCUAGGUCGGAUUAGCUAGUUGGUGAGGUAAAGGCUCACCAAGGCGACGAUCCGUAACUGGUCUGAGAGGAUGAUCAGUCACACUGGAACUGAGACACGGUCCAGACUCCUACGGGAGGCAGCAGUGGGGAAUAUUGGACAAUGGGCGAAAGCCUGAUCCAGCCAUGCCGCGUGUGUGAAGAAGGUCUUCGGAUUGUAAAGCACUUUAAGUUGGGAGGAAGGGCAGUAAGCUAAUACCUUGCUGUUUUGACGUUACCAACAGAAUAAGCACCGGCUAACUUCGUGCCAGCAGCCGCCGUAAUAC